rnacentral:rRNA from 1 species
UACGUAGGGUGCGAGCGUUGUCCGGAAUUAUUGGGCGUAAAGAGCUCGUAGGCGGUGUGUCACGUCGGCCGUGAAAACCUGCAGCUUAACUGUGGGCGUGCGGUCGAUACGGGCAUCACUGGAGUUCGGCAGGGGAGACUGGAAUUCCUGGUGUAGCGGUGAAAUGCGCAGAUAUCCGGAAGAACACCGGAGGCGAAGGCGGCUUGCUGGGCGUGAUCUGACGCUGAGGCGCGAAAGCGUGGGGAGCGAACAGG